GUGCUUGCUUCAGUGGCACAUAUACUAAAAAUGAAAUGAUACAGAGAUUAGCAUGACCCCUGCACAAGGAUGACAACAAAUUCAUGAAGUGUUCCAUAUUUUU